rnacentral:rRNA from 1 species
AUUGAACGCUGGCGGCAUGCCUUACACAUGCAAGUCGAACGGCAGCACGGGGGCAACCCUGGUGGCGAGUGGCGAACGGGUGAGUAAUAUAUCGGAACGUACCCUGGAGUGGGGGAUAACGUAGCGAAAGUUACGCUAAUACAGCAUACGAUCUAUGGAUGAAAGCGGGGGAUCUCAAGACCUCGCGCCCGUGGAGCGGCCGAUAUCUGAUUAGCUAGUUGGUGGGGUAAAGGCCCACCAAGUCUUCGAUCAGUAGCUGGUCUGAGAGGACGACCAGCCACACUGGAACUGAGACACGGUCCAGACUCCUACGGGAGGCAGCAGUGGGGAAUUUUGGACAAUGGGGGCAACCCUGAUCCAGCAAUGCCGCGUGAGUGAAGAAGGCCUUCGGGUUGUAAAGCUCUUUUGUCAGGGAAGAAACGGUCUUGGAUAAUACCUAGGGCUAAUGACGGUACCUGAAGAAUAAGCACCGGCUAACUACGUGCCAGCCGCCGCGGUAA